GUAUUAUAGUUUAUAGGGCUUUGUGGGCCCACUAGAGCGUUCAAUAACAUAUUAUGGUGUAUAAAUAAAAUCAUAGGGACUUCAGAAAAAGCAGUUAUUCUUGAUAACCGCAGUCUCCAGAGAACAAAGUUACCCUUGCUCAAAUUAAUGUUCCUAUGCAUAGUGCACAUGGUGGAAAGACAAAAAAUGACAAGUGUGCACUUGCUCAGUAGUUAGAGCCAGCAACAACCUAUCAAAUUUAUUCUGUAAUGAUCCUUCCGCAGGUUCACCUACGGAAA
rnacentral:misc_RNA from 1 species